UACGUAGGGGGCAAGCGUUACUCGGAUUUACUGGGCGUAAAGCGAGUGUAGGUGGUUUGGUAAGUCAGAGGUGAAAGCCCUCAGCUUAACUGAGGAAUUGCCUUUGAAACUGCUUAACUUGAGGACAGGAGAGGAAAGUGGAAUUCCCGGUGUAGCGGUGGAAUGCGUAGAUAUCGGGAGGAACACCGGAGGCGAAGGCGGCUUUCUGGACUGUUCCUGACACUGAGACUCGAAAGCUAGGGGAGCAAACAGGAUUAGAUACCCCCGUA
rnacentral:rRNA from 1 species